rnacentral:rRNA from 1 species
AAAGAUUACGCCAUGCAUGUCUAAGUAUAAGCAAUUAUACCGCGAAACUGCGAAUGGCUCAUUAUAUAAGUUAUCGUUUAUUUGAUAGUACCUUACUACUUGGAUAACCGUGGUAAUUCUAGAGCUAAUACAUGCUAAAAAUCCCGACUUCGGAAGGGAUGUAUUUAUUAGAUUAAAAACCAAUGCCCUUCGGGGCUCACUGGUGAUUCAUGAUAACUCCUCGAAUCGCAUGGCCUUGUGCCGGCGAUGGUUCAUUCAAAUUUCUUCCCUAUCAACUUUCGAUGUUUGGGUAUUGGCCAAACAUGGUUGCAACGGGUAACGGAGGGUUAGGGCUCGACCCCGGAGAAGGAGCCUGAGAAACGGCUACUACAUCCAAGGAAGGCAGCAGGCGCGCAAAUUACCCAAUCCCGACACGGGGAGGUAGUGACAAUAAAUACUGAUACAGGGCUCUUUUGGGUCUUGUAAUUGGAAUGAGUACAAUUUAAAUCCCUUAACGAGGAACAAUUGGAGGGCAAGUCUGGUGCCAGCAGCCGCGGUAAUUCCAGCUCCAAUAGCGUAUAUUAAAGUUGUUGUGGUUAAAAAGCUCGUAGUUGAACCUUGGGCCUGGCUGGCCGGUCCGCCUCACCGCGUGUACUGGUCCGGCCGGGCCUUUCCCUCUGUGGAACCCCAUGCCCUUCACUGGGUGUGGCGGGGAAACAGGACUUUUACUGUGAAAAAAUUAGAGUGCUCCAGGCAGGCCUAUGCUCGAAUACAUUAGCAUGGAAUAAUAGAAUAGGACGUGUGGUUCUAUUUUGUUGGUUUCUAGGACCGCCGUAAUGAUUAAUAGGG